rnacentral:lncRNA from 1 species
AGGCGCCAAACACUUCAUUUUGUAUUAUUUAAAAUCGAUCACCGAUUAACAUCAUCGCGGUAGCGCCGGCAGUCGCUGAAAACCUGCGCUGGGACUGUCUCCUUUCGUUUCGCAUUAUGCUGAGCGAGCGAAUUCUAAGCGUAACCCUGGCGGCUUGGUGGUGCUCUGUGGCAGGUGGACACACCUCUACAGAGCGUCAUGGUCAUCAGGGCAGGUGCAUGGUGGCAGGGUUUACCUGAACAAAUAAAGAUUUUGCGCACGCACCCAACAACAAUUCAAUCAAACAGACAGGUACCUGUUUGAUGGAUAUACUGCUAAGCGCUUACACCCUGGACCAGUUGUACUCUUAUGGGAAAACUGAUGGUGAAAGGAUGAGAAUUUUGUUAAAGGUACCCCCACGUUUUGGAAAAAAAAAAUGAUGUAACAUUCAGGCGUAUAUAAGACGUUUGCAAGUGCAGAGUCCAUUUUCUGUGUGUAAAAACGAUCACCGCGUACCACGUGGUCACCGAAGGGCGCACCUAUUACCAGCAGGCCAUACCCACAAGUUACGUAUCGCUGCUAUACGCGUAAAGCAAAUGUGCUCGUAGCCUGCAAUUUGCAAUUUUGUGACGGGUGUUUGUUACUUUCAGGACGCCAGACAACGCUUCGCGAGGGGCCGGUGACCCGAGAGAGACCAGGAGAUGCGUUGGGCCGGGGACCCGAGAGAGACCAGGAAAUCAAACUGUGACAAUACAUUACAUGCGUUGCAACGUACAGGGUUGAUGAUGUAUCAUAAAUUUGAUGAUGUUUAUGAUACAUCAUCAACCCUGUAUGUUUUAAUGCGUGUGAUAAAUGCAACUAUCGCCAAAAUCAACUGUCAAGAUGCGUGAUGAAAACCUUAACAUACCUUCUGAUAGUAGUCCAUGUAGGAAACAUUACAUGAACUACUAUCUGAAAUAUGUUAUAAAAUAUGAAAAACUUGACAUUUCACAAACGCAAAUCAUACGCAUUCCAUUUAAAACAUUAUAUAAUAUUGAUUAUAUUAUAUAUUAAUACCUAGGAUUUUCUUGAUUUUCUUUAUCGUAGUAUAUAUGUAGAUCUGCAUAUUUGUAUUUGUAAUUUUCUUUCCUACCAUUUGAUAAAAUAUUAUUAAUACCUCUUUUUUUAUACGUAAGUAAUUUUUCUUAGCCCUGUUGCAGCUAACGUUUGCUUACAGUUUGUUUUUUUUUAUUAUGUAGUAAUCUGUGGAAAAUGUUGUGGGUAGUAUAUUUGUUAAGUUUAAUGUUAAGGCUGUUUACCCUUAAUUUACUACUGUUUGUUUUCCCAAAUAUAAUAAAUACAUAAAUAAACUUGAUAUAAACGUACAAUAACAAAAAAAAGUACGCUGUACAGUUACUCAAAUUCACACUUUUUAGAUAUAGUGUUUUUUUUUGCUUUAUUGUUUUACUAGGAUAGUUUUUUUUGUGUUGUAAAUAUCUAUGUAUAUAACUAUGUAAAUAAAUCUAAUUCACACUCCAUUUUCUAUUUAUUUCCUAAU